GUGUUAGUGGCUGAAACAUAAGCAAGAGUCUUUUAAUCUCUAAAUGAUUGUAAAAUCCUACCUUA
rnacentral:tRNA from 1 species